GUAGGGAAUCUUCCGCAAUGGACGAAAGUCUGACGGAGCAACGCCGCGUGAGUGAAGAAGGUUUUCGGAUCGUAAAACUCUGUUAUCAGGGAAGAACAAGUAUCGGAGUCACUGCCGGUACCUUGACGGUACCUGACCAGAAAGCCACGGCUAACUACGUGCCAGCAGCCGCGGUAAUACGUAGGUGGCAAGCGUUGUCCGGAAUUAUUGGGCGUAAAGCGCGCGCAGGCGGUUUUCUAAGUCUGAUGUGAAAUCUUGCGGCUCAACCGUGAGCGGUCAUUGGAAACUGGAGAACUUGAGUGCAGAAGAGAAGAGCGGAAUUCCACGUGUAGCGGUGAAAUGCGUAGAGAUGUGGAGGAACACCAGUGGCGAAGGCGGCUCUUUGGUCUGUAACUGACGCUGAGGCGCGAAAGCGUGGGGAGCGAACAGGAUUAGAAACCCCUGUAGUCC
rnacentral:rRNA from 1 species